rnacentral:misc_RNA from 1 species
GCAAACUUGGUCAUUUAGAGGAAGUAAAAGUCGUAACAAGGUUUCCGUAGGUGAACCUGCGGAAGGAUCAUUACCGAGUGCGGGGGGUGUCGCCUCUGGCUCCCCUCCUGCGUCUCCCACCGUUCGGCCAUGUUUCCCGGUGGGGUUUCUAUGCCCUAGCGUAGGGGCUCCGGGCGCUGGCCUCCAUGUGUGCUCGUGGCCUGAAAUUAGCCUCUCUAUUCGGAGAAUGUCCCCGGUAGCCUUUUAUAAAAACUUUCAACAACGGAUCUCUUGGUUCUGGCAUCGAUGAAGAACGCAGC